CAGUCGCCGCGGUAAUACGUAGGGUGCAAGCGUUAAUCGGAAUUACUGGGCGUAAAGCGUGCGCAGGCGGUUUGUUAAGACAGAUGUGAAAUCCCCGGGCUUAACCUGGGAACUGCAUUUGUGACUGGCAAGCUAGAGUAUGGCAGAGGGGGGUGGAAUUCCGCGUGUAGCAGUGAAAUGCGUAGAUAUGCGGAGGAACACCGAUGGCGAAGGCAGCCCCCUGGGCCAAUACUGACGCUCAUGCACGAAAGCGUGGGGAGCAAACAGGAUUAGAUACCCCUGUACCCUGUCUCUUAUACAC
rnacentral:rRNA from 1 species